rnacentral:rRNA from 1 species
GGGCAAGUCUGGUGCCAGCAGCCGCGGUAAUUCCAGCUCCAAUAGCGUAUAUUAACGUUGUUGCGGUUAAAAAGCUCGUAGUUGGAUUUCGGUUUCGGGCGAGUGGUGCACCUUGCGGUGUUUACUGUUUGCCCGGACGAUUUUGUUGGUUCGUUUAUGGUUCUCUUAACCGAGUGCCAUAAGUGGCCAGCACGUUUACUUUGAAAAAAUUGGAGUGCUCAAAGCAGGCGCUACAGCCUGAACAUUAGUGCAUGGAAUAAUGGAAUAGGAUCUCGGUUCUAUUUCGUUGGCUUUCGGAGUCGAGGUAAUGAUUAAUAGGGACAGACGGGGGCAUUCGUACUGCGACGUUAGAGGUGAAAUUCUUGGAUCGUCGCAAGACGAACUCCUGCCAAAGCAUUUGCCAAGAAUGU